rnacentral:rRNA from 1 species
GAUGAACGCUGGCGGCGUGCCUAACACAUGCAAGUCGAACGGAGUCGUUUUGGAAAUCUCUUCGGAGAUGGAAUUCUCGACUUAGUGGCGGACGGGUGAGUAACGCGUGAGCAAUCUGCCUUUAAGAGGGGGAUAACAGUCGGAAACGGCUGCUAAUACCGCAUAAAGCAUUAAAUUCGCAUGUUUUUGAUGCCAAAGGAGCAAUCCGCUUUUAGAUGAGCUCGCGUCUGAUUAGCUAGUUGGCGGGGUAACGGCCCACCAAGGCGACGAUCAGUAGCCGGACUGAGAGGUUGAACGGCCACAUUGGGACUGAGACACGGCCCAGACUCCUACGGAAGGCAGCAGUGGGGAAUAUUGCGCAAUGGGGGAAACCCUGACGCAGCAACGCCGCGUGAUUGAAGAAGGCCUUCGGGUUGUAAAGAUCUGUAAUCAGGGACGAAACAAAUGACGGUACCUGAAGAAUAAGCUCCGGCUAACUACGUG